GGAUGAACGCUGACAGAAUGCUUACCCCAUGCAAGUCGAUGGGGAAGUGGUGCUUGCACCAUGGUAACCAUGGCGGACGGGUGAGUAACGCGUAAGGAACUUGCCUGCGGGACUGGGAUAACAGCAGGAAACUGCUGAUAAUACCGGAUAAGGUCAUUAAGCUGCAUAGCUUAGUGAUGAAAGGAGACGCCUGCGGAGAGCCUUGCGUCCUAUUAGCUAGUUGGAGGGGUAACGGCCCACCAAGGCGAAGAUAGGUAGCCGGCCUGAGAGGGUGGACGGCCACAAGGGGACUGAGAUACGGCCCUUACUCCUACGGGAGGCAGCAGUGGGGAAUAUUGGACAAUGGGGGCAACCCUGAUCCAGCAAUUCUGUGUGCACGAAGACGGUUUUCGGAGUGUAAAGUGCUUUCAGCAGGGAAGAAGGAAGUGACGGUACCUGCAGAAGAAGCGACGGCUAAAUACGUG
rnacentral:rRNA from 1 species